rnacentral:piRNA from 1 species
UAUAGGUGAUUGUGAACUACCCAACAUGAG